UUAAUUGAAGCCAAAUUAGAGGCUUAUCACUGUUAAUGGUAUCAAUGAACAAUUAUGUUCCAAUUAAA
rnacentral:tRNA from 1 species